GAUGAACGCUGGCGGCGUGCCUAAUACAUGCAAGUCGUACGGAAAGGCCCUUCGGGGUACUCGAGUGGCGGACGGCUGAGUAACGCGUGGGAACGUGCCCCAAAGUGAGGGAUAACGCACCGAAAGGUGUGCUAAUACCGCAUAUGGUCUUCGGAUUAAAGCUUCGGGGCUUUGGGAGCGGCCCGCGUACGAUUAGAUAGUUGGUGAGGUAAUGGCUCACCAAGUCGACGACCGUUAGCCGGUCUGAGAGGAUGAUCAGCCAGACUGGGACUGAGACACGGCCCAGACUCCUACGGGAGGCAGCAGUAAGGAAUCUUCCACAAUGGGGGCAACCCUGAUGGAGCAACGCCGCGUGCAGGAUGAAGGUUUUCGGAUCGUAAACUGCUUUUAUAAGUGAAGAAUAUGACGGUAACUUAUGAAUAAGGAUCGGCUAACUACGUGCCAGCCGCCGCCGUAA
rnacentral:rRNA from 1 species